rnacentral:rRNA from 1 species
UACGAAGGGGGCUAGCGUUACUCGGAUUGACUGGGCGUAAAGGGCGCGUAGGCGGUUUGUACAGUCAGACGUGAAAUUCCUGGGCUCAACCUGGGGGCUGCGUUUGAUACGUGCAGACUUGAGUUCGGAAGAGGGUCGUGGAAUUCCCAGUGUAGAGGUGAAAUUCGUAGAUAUCGGGAGGAACACCGGUGGCGAAGGCGGCGAUCUGGGUAGAUACUGACGCUGAGGUGCGAAAGCGUGGGGAGCAAACAGG